rnacentral:sRNA from 1 species
CCAGACUUUCUACUAGUUGGAGCA